CGCUAUCACUCCUACGGGGAGGCAGCAGUAGGGAAUCUUCCACAAUGGACGAAAGUCUGAUGGAGCAACGCCGCGUGAACGAUGAAGGCUUUCGGGUCGUAAAGUUCUGUUGUAAGGGAAGAACAAGUGCCGCAGGCAAUGGCGGCACCUUGACGGUACCUUGCGAGAAAGCCACGGCUAACUACGUGCCAGCAGCCGCGGUAAUACGUAGGUGGCAAGCGUUGUCCGGAAUUAUUGGGCGUAAAGCGCGCGCAGGCGGCCUCUUAAGUCUGAUGUGAAAGCCCCCGGCUCAACCGGGGAGGGCCAUUGGAAACUGGGAGGCUUGAGUAUAGGAGAGAAGAGUGGAAUUCCACGUGUAGCGGUGAAAAUGCGUAGAGAUGUGGAGGAACACCAGUGGCGAAGGCGACUCUUUGGCCUAUAACUGACGCUGAGGCGCGAAAGCGUGGGGAGCAAACAGGAUUAGAUACCCUGGUAG
rnacentral:rRNA from 1 species